CUGGUUGAUCCUGCCGGACCUGACUGCUAUCGGAUUGAUACUAAGCCAUGCGAGUCAUUGUAGCAAUACAAGGCAGACGGCUCAGUAACGCGUAGUCAACCUACCCUAUGGACGGGGAUAACCUCGGGAAACUGAGAAUAAUACCAGAUAGAACAUUAUACCUGGAAUGGUUUAUGUUUCAAAUAAUUUAUUGCCGUAGGAUGGGACUGCGGCCUAUCAGUUUGUUGGUGAGGUAAUGGCCCACCAAGACUAUUACAGGUACGGGCUCUGAGAGGAGUAGCCCGGAGAUGGGUACUGAGACACGGACCCAGGCCCUAUGGGGCGCAGCAGGCGAGAAAACUUUGCAAUGUGCGAAAGCACGACAAGGUUAAUCCGAGUGGUUUCUGCUAAAGGAACCUUUUGCCAGUCCUAGAAACACUAGUGAAUAAGGGGUGGGCAAGUUCUGGUGUCAGCCGCCGCGGUAAAACCAGCACCUCAAGUGGUCAGGAUGAUUAUUGGGCCUAAAGCAUCCGUAGCCUGCUUUGCCAGUUUUCGGUUAAAUCCAUACGCUCAACGUAUGGGCUGCCGGAAAUACUACAAAGCUAGGGAGUGGGAGAGGUAGACGGUACUCGGUAGGAAGGGGUAAAAUCCUUUGAUCUAUUGAUGACCACCUGUGGCGAAGGCGGUCUACCAGAACACGUCCGACGGUGAGGGAUGAAAGCUGGGGGAGCAAACCGGAUUAGAUACCCGGGUAGUCCCAGCUGUAAACUAUGCAAACUCGGUGAUGCAUUGGCUUGAUGCCAAUGCAGUGCCGCAGGGAAGCCGUUAAGUUUGCCGCCUGGGAAGUACGUACGCAAGUAUGAAACUUAAAGGAAUUGGCGGGGGAGCACCACAAGGGGUGAAGCCUGCGGCUUAAUUGGACUCAACGCCGG
rnacentral:rRNA from 1 species